GUCCCCAUCGUCUAGAGGCCUAGGACAUCACCCUUUCACGGUGAUAACAGGGGUUCGAAUCCCCUUGGGGACG
rnacentral:tRNA from 2 species